rnacentral:tRNA from 1 species
GCUCCUGUCGUCUAGCCCGGUUAAGGAUAUCAGACUCUCACUCUGAGGACCCGCGUUCAAAUCGCGGCAGGAGCA